GGUGUUAUGGUGUAGGGGACUAGCACUUGAGAUUCUGAAGCCUAUGUAUUCUCAAAACCCAGGUUCAAAUCCUGGUAACACCU